GAUGAAGAACGUAGCGAAAUGCGAUACUUGGUGUGAAUUGCAGAAUCCCGCGAAUCAUCGAGUUUUUGAACGCAAGUUGCGCCCGAAGCCAUUCGGCCGAGGGCACGUCUGCCUGGGUGUCACGCAUCGUUGCCCCCCCAAACUCCGGUUCGGGCAGGGCGGAAGUUGGCCUCCCGUGCGUGCCUGCGCGCGCGGUUAGCCCAAAAGCGAGUCCUCGGCGACGAGCGCCACGACAAUCGGUGGUUUUUUUCCCCUCGUUCCUCGUCGUGCGUGCCCCGUCGCCCGAACGCGCUCUUGCGACCCUUACGCGUCGCCUCGGCGGCGCUCCCAACGCGACCCCAGGUCAGGCGGGACUACCCGCUGAGUUUAAGCAUAUCAAUAAGCGGAGGA
rnacentral:misc_RNA from 1 species